CCCUUAGAUGUUCUGGGCCGCACGCGCGCUACACUGAUGCAUUCAACGAGUUUCUUCCUGGUCCGAGAGGAAUGGGUAACCUUUUGAAAGUGCAUCGUGAUAGGGAUAGACUAUUGCAAUUAUUGGUCUUCAACGAGGAAUUCCUAGUAGACGUAGUUCAUCAGACUGCAUCGAUUACGUCCCUGCCCUUUGUACACACCGCCCGUCGCUCCUACCGAUUGAAUGCUCAGGUGAGCCAUUCGGACUUUCAUCAUGAUGGUUUCCAGUUUUGAUGAAGGAAAGUCUUGCGAACCUUAUCAUUUAGAGGAAGGAGAAGUCGUAACA
rnacentral:rRNA from 1 species